UGGCAUGAGGUAAUCCACUCUCGAAGGC
rnacentral:piRNA from 1 species